CAUUUGCAUCUGCCAGCUUUGACCUCAAUGCCAUACAUAAGCUGUCUGAAACCUGAAGGACUGAAAUGGUGAUGACAGUUGGUGACACUGACGGGUGGGCCAAAUGCAGCUGCAGCUCCUCCCUCACCUCGAAAGAGAGAGAAAGGAAGUUUCAGGACAGAUUGACUCUGCUGGAUCAUGGAUCUCUUGGCCUCUUGGACUUUCCAGCUUCAAGAAUUAGUACAUCUGCAAACGAAGUCACGC